rnacentral:tRNA from 1 species
GGGGACGUCGUCUAGCCUGGAUAAGACCCUGGACUGUCGAUCCAGUGAUCGCGGGUUCAACUCCCGUCGUCCCCGCCA